GUCCCCAUCGUCUAGAGGCCAAGGACACUGGCCUUUCACGCCGGCAACAGGGGUUCGAAUCCCCUUGGGGACGCCA
rnacentral:tRNA from 1 species